rnacentral:lncRNA from 1 species
AGAACGUAUAGGGACUUAAAAUACCAAAGUUAAUAAGAGGAGCAACCUGGCAUGCUCCAAAACAUGGAAAUCCUCUGACGCUCAUUAUUAACUGCCUCACAGAUGAGCAUAAAGGCUUUUGCUGCGGAGCUUUGUCCUGGUUCCAGUUCCUGCAGCCACUGCAGUUCCAGCUCCUGCAGUCGCUCCAGUUCCUGCAGCCGAGGCCUGCGUCUCAGCUGAGGAGAAACUUUCUGAAGAGUUCCACCAACUUAAAGAGAAUCUAUCUUCCUCCACACCUGAACAAACCAGUGUCUCAGCUAUCAGGGGAGCAGCUCUUGCAGGAUGGGAAAUCCCUCACUGUGUUCAUACGUGUUUGACCGUCUCACACACACUGCUGUCCAUGAAGAGAAGCGUGUCAUCUCCAUGGAGCUACUCUUGGAAUAAGCAUGGCAAGUUCACUCUGAAUCACGCCUUGUCAUGACUUAAGGUAAGAUGCUAAUUAUUCAUCUAAGCUCUUCUAUGUGUACUUAAUGUACUUAGCAAUGUAUUAUACU